rnacentral:lncRNA from 1 species
GAGUGGGUUCUGGAAACUGACAAUGAUGUGAAGUUCUACCGGGCCUUCUGUCUUUCCCUUUACAGAGUUUCUGAAGUAUUUUAAAGUUUUUAAUACUGAUUAGUAGUGCCAUGACUUUACCAAAUUAGCAAAUUAUCUUGAAUAACCCUGCCCUACUGACAAAACAGAGUAGCCAAGGAAACACAGAAAUUUUUGAAUGUAUAAUCUAGGGCAGGAGAAAAGUUUCUUUUCUGUCAAUUAAAAAAUGUAUAGAAACAGAAUAUAUACAACUGCAUGUCUCCUAAAAGACACUCACAGGGUAGUCCAGCUCACUCAGGGGAACGGUUUGGUGCAUUCGCCAUUAAUGUUUCUCUAAAACUACUGCUUUUUAUAGACCUAUAGAAUGAUUUGGUGAAAAGGUAGCAAUGAAUCUAGUUGAAUCAGGAGGUUGAGGCAGAGAGAUUGUUAAGUAGGAGGUCAGCCUAGGCUAGCAAGAGGUUGUGUGUUUUUAAAAAAAGGAAAGGAAAAAAGAACUAACAGUGAAGGUCCAUGAAUCACAUCUCUCAUUCAGCACAGACUUCAUUUUCAUUCUAGGACAUCAGCAUCCAUCUACUUUUUCUCAUUUUUAAGGUCCAGACUACUAACCCUUGGAACUAAUAGGCACGAAGUACCUAAUUGUUAAAUUGUUUAGGUGAAUGAAUGAUGAAUUUGUGAAUUGAAACUGCCUAUCACUGUGAUAAAAUACCAUGACCAAAUACAAAUCACCCUGGGGAGGAAAGGGGGCCUGUUUCCUCUUACAACCAUGCAGGGAAGUCAGAGUGGGAACUCUCGAGGUAGGAGCCUGAUGAUUGGAACUGAUGCAGAGAUCAUGGAGCAACACUGUUCACUGUCUUACUCAUCACUUCUCAGUUUGUUUUCUUAUACACCCAGAGCCACCAUGGGCUGGGCCAUCCCACAGCAAACAUCAAGAAACUGCUCCAUAGCCUUGUCUACAGGCCAGUCAUAUGGAGGCAUUUUCUCAGUUGAGGUUCCCCCCUCUCAGAUUACUCUAGUUUGUGUCAAGUUGAACCCCCUAAAAAAAGCCAUCACAGAAACUAGAGAGAUUUUUAAAUAUCUGAUAGCUUUAAAGGCAAUUCAUGAAGGGCUGGAGAGGUGCAUCAGAGGUUAAGAGUUCAGGUCCCAGCACCCUAUCAGGUGGGUCACAACUACCUCCACCUCCAGGCACCUGCACGCGUGUGCAUAUCCACAUACAACACAUGCACAUAGUUAAAAAUAACAAUGAGAGGAAACUUUUUAAAAAGGUAAUUCACUACUAGAUAAUUAACUUUUGUAUUUUGUUUUGGGGUUGUUUGUAGAUGAGGGCUCACUAUGUUGCCCUGGUUAGUCUUGAACUCUUUGUCAAAGUGGUUAUAGUCCCAGCCUCCAGAGGACUAUAGGUUCAUGCCAUCAUGCCAAGAUAGGUGUUUACCUCUCUAUAGUUCUGUCACCCUCUCUAAAGAGGAUUUCCUCACUUGAAUAAAAGGUAAUUAUUUUUCAAAAGUGGCGUACAAUAAGAACCAAGGAUUUGUCUGUCCAUUGAGCCACUCUACGGCCCUAUACUAAUUUUAACUGAUAAAUAAGUUUCUUCUAACAGUUUGGUUAAGGCUCAGCACACUGGCUCAGCACACAACUGCAGCUCCAAUUACUGAGGAUUACUUAAACCUAGGAGUUGAGGCCACUUGGUCAACAUGGUGAGGCCCCUAAUUUAAACAUUGUUAUUGUUAAGAAUUGUGGGGGGCAGCUAGGGAAUUGGUUCAGCCAGAGGACUCAGGUUCAAUUCCCAGUACCCACAUGGCAGCUCACAACUGUCUGUAACUCCAGUUCCAGGGGAUCUGACAUCCUUAUAAAGAUAUAGUAUGUGCUAUGCAGACAAAACACCAAUGCACAUGAAAUAAAAAUAAAUAAAUCAUUUAAAAUUUUAAACAAUAAAUAAUUGUGUUGAGGAGAAAUGUCUCAGCAGUUAAGAGCACUUACUACUCUACCAGUGGGCCAGUGCUUAGUUCUCAGUGCCCUCAAUAAGAGGCCCACAGCUGUCUAUAACUCCAGCUCCAGAGGACCCAAUGCCUCUAGCUUCUGCAGGCACUUCACUUUAUGUGCACAUGCCCACAUGCAGGCACUUCACUUUAUGUGCACAUGCCCACAUGCAGGCACACACCUGUACAUAAUUUAAAACAAUAAAAAUACAUCUUAUAAAAAUUGUAUUGAGGCAAUAAUAGCUCUCAUUUCCCAAAGUGAAAUUACAAUUUUUGACCCAACAGAAUCGCUUUCAUUAAAAGCAUUCCUUUUGUUUUAUUUUGGAGGGUGUUUUUGUUUUUUGGAGACAAGGUCUUACUGUGUAGCUCUGACUGGCCUAAAACACUCCCUGUAAACUAGGCUGACUUCAAAUUCACUGAUCUUCUUGAUUUUGCUUAGUUGCUGGGAUUACAAGCAUAUGCCAUCAUACCCUGCAGUGGCUUUUUGAAAGCCCAGGUGUUGUAACACCAUUCAACCUUGGUUUUCUCUAAGUUUGUUAUUUUAUCUAUGAAAAUUCCAAUUGCAAAAUGUAAUACUAUUAAAUUAGAUGUGGUUGCUUUAAGAUGCCACUAAAACAAAAAUGUUCCUACUUAAGGUAUAAAUAGUAAACAAAUAUGAAAAUAUUUAAAAUAGUAAAGUAGUAUUGUACAAAUGAUUUACUUAUUUAUAACUGCUAUCUCACUGUGUUGGUUUUGGGGGGGAUCAUUUGGUUUGAUGACAGGGACUUACUAUAACUUUCUGUAGCUCUGAUUGGGCAUUAUUUCACUGUUUAUCAUCCCCUUUUAAACCAUUUAAGUUAUUGCAAUUGAGUUCUGAGCUACAAACUGACAAUAAUUACAAGGCUGUCUUAGUUAGGGCUUCUUUGCUGUAAAGAGACAACAUGACCACAGCAACUCUUAUAAAAGAAAACAUUUAAUUGGGACUGGCUUAUGAGAUUUAGUCCAUUAUAAUGGUGAAAAGCAUUGUGGCAUGCAGGCAGAUAUGGUUCUGGUGAAGGAGCUGAGUCUAUUCAACAUUUGAAUCUAAGGCAGCAGAAGGAGACUGUGUCACUGGACAUUGCCUGAGCAUAGGAGACCUCAAAGCCUACCCCCACAAUAACACACUUCCUCUAACAAAGCCACACCUACCUUAACAAGGACACACAUCCCCCUACAACGCCACAUCUCCUAACAAUGCCACUCCCUAUGGGCCCUGCAUUCAAACAGUUGAGUCUAUGGGGGCCAUAACUAUUCAAACCACCACAAAGGCCAAAGACAUUCAUGAUUAAUGAAG